rnacentral:rRNA from 2 species
AGACCCGAAACCCGGUGAUCUAGCCAUGGGCAGGUUGAAGGUUGGGUAACACUAACUGGAGGACCGAACCGACUAAUGUUGAAAAAUUAGCGGAUGACCUGUGGCUGGGGGUGAAAGGCCAAUCAAACCGGGAGAUAGCUGGUUCUCCCCGAAAGCUAUUUAGGUAGCGCCUCGUGAAUUCAUCUCCGGGGGUAGAGCACUGUUUCGGCUAGGGGGCCAUCCCGGCUUACCAACCCGAUGCAAACUGCGAAUACCGGAGAAUGUUAUCACGGGAGACACACGGCGGGUGCUAACGUCCGUCGUGAAGAGGGAAACAACCCAGACCGCCAGCUAAGGUCCCAAAGUCAUGGUUAAGUGGGAAACGAUGUGGGAAGGCCCAGACAGCCAGGAUGUUGGCUUAGAAGCAGCCAUCAUUUAAAGAAAGCGUAAUAGCUCACUGGUCGAGUCGGCCUGCGCGGAAGAUGUAACGGGGCUAAACCAUGCACCGAAGCUGCGGCAGCGACACUCAGGUGUUGUUGGGUAGGGGAGCGUUCUGUAAGCCUGUGAAGGUGGCCUGUGAGGGUUGCUGGAGGUAUCAGAAGUGCGAAUGCUGACAUAAGUAACGAUAAAGCGGGUGAAAAGCCCGCUCGCCGGAAGACCAAGGGUUCCUGUCCAACGUUAAUCGGGGCAGGGUGAGUCGACCCCUAAGGCGAGGCCGAAAGGCGUAGUCGAUGGGAAACGGGUUAAUAUUCCCGUACUUGGUGUUACUGCGAAGGGGGGACGGAGAAGGCUAUGUUGGCCGGGCGACGGUUGUCCCGGUUUAAGCGUGUAGGUGUGUGUUCCAGGUAAAUCCGGUUCACUUUAACACUGAGGCGUGACGACGAGGCACUACGGUGCUGAAGCAACAAAUGCCCUGCUUCCAGGAAAAGCCUCUAAGCAUCAGGUAACAUCAAAUCGUACCCCAAACCGACACAGGUGGUCAGGUAGAGAAUACCAAGGCGCUUGAGAGAACUCGGGUGAAGGAACUAGGCAAAAUGGUGCCGUAACUUCGGGAGAAGGCACGCUGACACGUAGGUGAAGUGAUUUACUCAUGGAGCUGAAGUCAGUCGAAGAUACCAGCUGGCUGCAACUGUUUAUUAAAAACACAGCACUGUGCAAACACGAAAGUGGACGUAUACGGUGUGACGCCUGCCCGGUGCCGGAAGGUUAAUUGAUGGGGUCAGCGCAAGCGAAGCUCCUGAUCGAAGCCCCGGUAAACGGCGGCCGUAACUAUAACGGUCCUAAGGUAGCGAAAUUCCUUGUCGGGUAAGUUCCGACCUGCACGAAUGGCGUAAUGAUGGCCAGGCUGUCUCCACCCGAGACUCAGUGAAAUUGAACUCGCUGUGAAGAUGCAGUGUACCCGCGGCAAGACGGAAAGACCCCGUGAACCUUUACUAUAGCUUGACACUGAACAUUGAGCCUUGAUGUGUAGGAUAGGUGGGAGGCUUUGAAGUGUGGACGCCAGUCUGCAUGGAGCCGACCUUGAAAUACCACCCUUUAAUGUUUGAUGUUCUAACGUGGACCCGUAAUCCGGGUUGCGGACAGUGUCUGGUGGGUAGUUUGACUGGGGCGGUCUCCUCCUAAAGAGUAACGGAGGAGCACGAAGGUUGGCUAAUCCUGGUCGGACAUCAGGAGGUUAGUGCAAUGGCAUAAGCCAGCUUGACUGCGAGCGUGACGGCGCGAGCAGGUGCGAAAGCAGGUCAUAGUGAUCCGGUGGUUCUGAAUGGAAGGGCCAUCGCUCAACGGAUAAAAGGUACUCCGGGGAUAACAGGCUGAUACCGCCCAAGAGUUCAUAUCGACGGCGGUGUUUGGCACCUCGAUGUCGGCUCAUCACAUCCUGGGGCUGAAGUAGGUCCCAAGGGUAUGGCUGUUCGCCAUUUAAAGUGGUACGCGAGCUGGGUUUAGAACGUCGUGAGACAGUUCGGUCCCUAUCUGCCGUGGGCGCUGGAGAACUGAGGGGGGCUGCUCCUAGUACGAGAGGACCGGAGUGGACGCAUCACUGGUGUUCGGGUUGUCAUGCCAAUGGCACUGCCCGGUAGCUAAAUGCGGAAGAGAUAAGUGCUGAAAGCAUCUAAGCACGAAACUUGCCCCGA